GUACACUCCUACGGGAGGCAGCAGUGGGGAAUAUUGGACAAUGGGCGCAAGCCUGAUCCAGCCAUGCCGCGUGAGUGAUGAAGGCCCUAGGGUUGUAAAGCUCUUUCACCGGUGAAGAUAAUGACGGUAACCGGAGAAGAAGCCCCGGCUAACUUCGUGCCAGCAGCCGCGGUAAUACGAAGGGGGCUAGCGUUGUUCGGAUUUACUGGGCGUAAAGCGCACGUAGGCGGACUAUUAAGUCAGGGGUGAAAUCCCGGGGCUCAACCCCGGAACUGCCUUUGAUACUGGUAGUCUUGAGUUCGAGGGAGGUGAGUGGAAUUCCGAGUGUAGAGGUGAAAUUCGUAGAUAUUCGGAGGAACACCAGUGGCGAAGGCGGCUCACUGGCUCGAUACUGACGCUGAGGUGCGAAAGCGUGGGGAGCAAACAGGAUUAGAAACCCCGGUAGUCCCAUG
rnacentral:rRNA from 1 species